rnacentral:rRNA from 1 species
CAAUAAGCGAGGAAAAGAAACUUACCAAGGAUUCCCNUAGUAACUGCGAGUAAGCGGAAGAGCUCAAAUUUAAAAUCUGCGGCCUUCUGAACGUCCGAGUUGUAGUCUGGAGAAGUGUUAUCCGCGUCGGACCGUGUACAAGUCUCCUGGAACGGAGCGUCAUAGAGGGUGAGAAUCCCGUCCAUGACACGGACGCCCGAUGCUAUGUGAGGCACUCUCGAAGAGUCGAGUUGUUUGGGAAUGCAGCUCAAAAUGGGUGGUAAAUUCCAUCUAAAGCUAAAUAUUGGCGAGAGACCGAUAGCGAACAAGUACCGUGAGGGAAAGAUGAAAAGCACUUUGGAAAGAGAGUUAAACAGUACGUGAAAUUGUUGAAAGGGAAACGCUUGAAGUCAGUCGCGUCCCGUGGAACUCAGCCUGGUUUCGACCUGGUGUACUUUCCAUGUGGACGGGUCAACAUCAAUUUCGGCCGGUGGACAAGGGCGAGGGGAAUGUAGCGUUGCUUCGGCGACGUGUUAUAGCCCCCCGUCGCAUACACUGGCUGGGAUUGAGGACCGCAGCACGCCCUUGUGGCCGGGGGGUUCGCCCCACGUAACGUGCUUAGGAUGUUGGCAUAAGGUUUNAAAAGG